rnacentral:rRNA from 1 species
ACGGCUCAGUAACACGUAGUCAACAUGCCCAGGGGACGUGGAUAACCUCGGGAAACUGAGGAUAAACCGCGAUAGGCCAAGAUUUCUGGAAUGAAUCAUGGUUUAAAUCUAUAUGGCCCCUGGAUUGGACUGCGGCCGAUCAGGCUGUUGGUGAGGUAAUGGCCCACCAAACCUGUAACCGGUACGGGCUCUGAGAGGAGGAGCCCGGAGAUGGGCACUUAGACAAGGGCCCAGGCCCUAUGGGGCGCAGCAGGCGCGAAACCUCUGCAAUAAGCGAAAGCUUGACAGGGUUACUCUGAGUGAUUUCCGCUAAGGAAGUCUUUUGGCACCUCUAAAAAUGGUGCAGAAUAAGGGGUGGGCAAGUCUGGUGUCAGCCGCCGCGGUAAUACCAGCACCCCGAGUGGUCGGGACGAUUAUUGGGCCUAAAGCAUCCGUAGCCGGUCCUGCAAGUCCUCCGUUAAAUCCACCCGCUCAACGGUUGGGCCGCGGGGGAUACUACAGGGCUAGGAGGCCAGUGGCGAAGGCGGCUUGCCAGAACGCGCUCGACGGUGAGGGAUGAAAGCUGGGGGAGCAAACCGGAUUAGAUACCCGGGUAGUCCCAGCUGUAAACGAUGCAGACUCGGUGAUGGGCUGGCUUCGUGCCAACCCGGUGCCGCAGGGAAGCCGUUAAGUCUGCCGCCUGGGGAGUACGGUCGCAAGACUGAAACUUAAAGGAAUUGGGAGAGGCAAGCGGUACUCGAUGGGUAGGGGUAAAAUCCACUGAUCCAUUGAAGACCACGGCGGGGGAGCAC